rnacentral:piRNA from 1 species
UCUCUGGUUGACUUAGUCACUCUGCUGAGA